rnacentral:rRNA from 1 species
CAGUAGCCGCGGGAAUACGUAGGGUGCAAGCGUUAAUCGGAAUUACUGGGCGUGAAGCGUGCGCAGGCGGUUUGUUAGGACAGAUGUGAAAUCCCCGGGCUUAACCUGGGAACUGCAUUUGUGACUGGCAAGCUAGAGUAUGGCAGAGGGGGGUGGAAUUCCGCGUGUAGCAGUGAGAUGCGUAGAUAUGCGGAGGAACACCGAUGGCGAAGGCAGCCCCCUGGGCCAAUACUGACGCUCAUGCACGAAAGCGUGGGGAGCAAACAGGAUUAGAUACCCCCGUAGUCCCUGUCUCUUAUAC